rnacentral:rRNA from 1 species
GAUGAACGCUGGCGGCGUGCUUAACACAUGCAAGUCGAACGGAAAGGCUCCUGCUUGCAGGGGUACUCGAGUGGCGAACGGGUGAGUAACACGUGGGUGAUCUGCCCUGCACUUCGGGAUAAGCCGGGGAAACUGGGUCUAAUACCGGAUAGGACGAUGGGUUGGAUGCCAUUGUGGAAAGGUUUUCGGUGUGGGAUGAGCUCGCGGCCUAUCAGCUUGUUGGGGGGGUAAUGGCCUACCAAGGCGUCGACGGGUAGCCGGCCUGGGAGGGUGUACGGCCACAUUGGGACUGAGAUACGGCCCAGACUCCUACGGGAGGCAGCAGUGGGGAAUAUUGCACAAUGGGCGCAAGCCUGAUGCAGCGACGCCGCGUGGGGGAUGACGGCCUUCGGGUUGUAAACUCCUUUCGCUAGGGACGAAGCGCAAGUGACGGUACCUGGAGAAGAAGCACCGGCUAACUACGUG